AUUCUCUUUUUCUUCUCUAACCACGCACCAAAUUUUUUUUUUGCCAGGGUCGUAAUCGUCACAUCUUUUCCUUCAAUCUUCUUGUUUCCGUGUACCAAUUCAACCUUUAAAACGACACACUCUUUAUUUUUCUCCAAUUCUACAUAAUUUGCAGGAUUCCCUCCAUUUUGAGUUUAGUUGAAUUUACUUAUUGCUACAUGCUCCAAUCUUCCUUUCUUUGCCUAGUCUUUCUCUCAAGAAUUUGGGACCCCUUUUCGACGAUGUAUAUUUUAAAGAAUUAAUUUUAUUGAAUCAAAUAAAAGGAUACUCAUAAAUUUCAUAUCCGAAGUGAUUUUUUGGAAUGAAAACGGGGAAACUUAAAACUUUCUCAACGUCUGUGAUACAUCAACUAAUAUCAAACACUAUUAAUUAUUUGUGAUCCGUGUUUUCUUUUUGCCAAGAUCGAGUGAAGCAUACAAUACAACGUUAAAAAGCGCUCGUAUACAUGAAAGGAACAAUAUCUUACUCGUAUAUCAUUUUGCUGUGAAUCUUAUUUUUUUUUCAUUUAUCAGUGGACGAUACUAGGUCUAGUCAAUUUAUCUUAUGUAUGCUUCUCGUCAGAUAAAUGGUGAAUAACUCCACUUUGUGUCUCUACAAAUAAUUGUGCUUAUGUUCAUUUUUAAAAGAAAUCCUUUACCCACUUUGGAAAGGUUUCAAGUGCUCUCGUCUUAGAAGGGAGAGAUAAGUACAAAAUGCAGGAUGGAAGAUCCUCUCAUUCAGAGGAGACUGAAGAGCUCAAUCACUCUUGUAAAAAAUGGUCGUGUAAUUUGUGUACUUAUGAGAAUUGGAAGUCCUCUACCAAAUGUGUGAUGUGUCAUCAUAAUAAAUGCGAAGGGAAUUUUAUUAACACAUCAGCAACAAAGUCCGGCUCUUCUUCUCUACGAAGAAUUAAAAGUCCAAAUGGGGACAUUCACAAGUUGAAUAAUCAAAAUAACCAAGGAGCCAUGGCAACAUCCUGGGAGGUUACCUCCCAGGCCAAUAAUAAUUGUAAUGAAAAGUGGUCCUGUUCUUUGUGUACCUACAGUAAUUGGCCUCGAUCUCUCCGCUGUGUUCAGUGUUUAACUACAAGAGUAAAGUCCUCGUCUUCCCCUCUGCCCACUCAGCAAUCCAGCGCCACUUCAUCCAUGAAUGUGAUCACGGAUGAACUUUUACACAUAUCCAUUAAUAAAAAUAAUCAAUACAAUAAAACAACACCUAGCUCUAUGGGAGCUGUUUCCAGGUUCGCUCUGGACAACGAACGAAAUUGUCAAAAAAGCCCUAUUAUCCCUUCAUCACCACCUCCCUCAUGCAGUAUUCUUGAAGGCUCUACUAGAAAAUGGAUUUGCAGUGUUUGUACGUUCGAGAAUUGGCCUAGGACCCUACAUUGUACUCUUUGUGACUCUGUGAAGAGAAGUGAUAGUUAUAAUUGUAAAAAGUUUUCUGCAACUUCGGACCACUAUCCUGGUGGUGCAGGAUCUUCAUCAAGAAAAGAGCGAUCCCUCUCUCCUACAAUAGGAGCUUCAAAUAAUAAUUUCGAUUAUGAAAAAAGACUUCGACAAUUGCGCAGACGAAUGAGAGAAUCGGAUAGAAGUUGGCUUACCGCUUGUAUGGGUAUUGUAGAAGGUGAUAUGAUUCCAGUUGAGGCUUAUUUAAAUGGCGGAGGGGAUCCAACACGAAAGCUCACAAAUCCAGAAGUCGCCCUUUUAAACCGUGGAAAUUUGUAUGAAGCUGGUCACACUCUGGUACAUUUAGCCAUCAAAUGUCAUAGAGAGGAAAUGUUAGCUACUUUAUUAUCAAAUUUAAAAGGUUCUCCAGCAUCUGGUGCUAAAUGCGUACCGUCUUAUGUUGCUCCAGAUCUUGGAGCUGCUAUUCGUCGUCAUAUUGCAUCGGCUAUACGUCAAAGAAAGGGCUCUUUUCCUUGUUAUUAUAUUAACGAGUGGGCGACGUACUCAUUACCUCCUGAAAUCGAUGAUUUGCCACCUGUGUUACAAGAACAAUUGUAUUCCGAAAUCAUGGAUCGUGACGCCCAAAAGGAAUUGGAAGAGGGUUUCAUUAUCAACUGGAAUCCGGAUUUACAAAUAAAGUUGGGCUCCCGGCUUCAUGCACUUUGGAAUCGCUCUGCUGGUGAUUGCCUAUUAGAUUCCAUUCUCCAAUCAACAUGGGGUGUGUUUGAUCGAGAUAACACUCUUAGGAAAGCAAUGUCUGAUAGUCUUCACGAAGCAGGACAUAUUUUUUAUCCAAGAUGGAAGGAAUGGGAAACUCAACAAGCUUUAGAAUUAGAUUUUACACUUGUAGAAAGCCAAUGGGAAGAAGAUUGGUCAGUACUCCUAAAUUUGGCAUCUCAACCUGGAGCAGCUCUUGAGCAGUUACAUGUCUUUACUUUAGCCCAUGUUUUAAAAAGGCCCAUUAUCAUUUAUGGUGUUAAAUAUGUGAAAAGUUGGAGAGGAGAAAAUCUUGGAUAUGCAAGAUUUGAGGGCGUUUAUUUGCCUUUAUUUUUGGAACCGAGUGCUUGUUCCCGUUCUCCAAUAGCACUUGGUUAUACAAGGGGUCAUUUUUGUUCCCUUGUACCUCCAGAGCCUGAGAUUUCUGUAUCCAAGUCCACCUUGGGAGCUGGAAUUGAAGAUCUUGGCGAGCAUCAUGAUGAAAAAUCUACAUUUCUACCCCUUAUGACAUAUGAUCGAAAAUUACUCCCUGUUCAUUUUCUGAGGCAGGAUGAGAUUGGUCGAGAAGAGGUCAUACUUAGACAGUGGAUGGAUGUAUGUCGCGUAAAUUUUGACCCUGACCUCCUUGUAGCUCGUCAAAGGAUCCGUAAGCCUCCUCUAUUAGUGGCGCAGAUGACUGAAGAAUGGCUCAAUCAUUAUAGAAAAUUAGCUCAAAGUGCAAGAGCCCCCUUUUCUGUGGCGUCAAGACACGGAAACUCUUCACCAGGAGGUUCUUCUUCAGGAGCUGUGAUGAGUAGUGGUAGUGGCGGAAACGUCACAAGUCCUUCAAAAGUAGCAACGAAGCAUCGUGGUAGUCCAGGGCUCUCGACCAAUCAAGGAGGUUAUUCGUCUGAUGGUGACUCCGACGAAGAAUGACAAGAUGUUCGCCAUUCGUAGUGUUCUUGUUUAAUUUUUUCUAAAUGUUGAUUUCAUUCAUUUAUACACUCAGAACAUUCUACUGUAUAAAUUCUUUUAGAGUUAUUUCAAGUACCAAACAUGAUUAUGUAUAUUGUUUAAUUAUGAUAGUUAGGUUAUUUAAUGAUAUUAUGUUUAUGGACAGUGUGUUUUAUUUUUAAUUAAAAAAAUGAUGAUAAAAAGAGGAAGAAGCAAAGUCUCAUAUAUUUGUCUUUGAUUCUUUGUAUUCAAAAAGAUUAAAUGAAGUCAUAAAAAAAUAAUAAUUAUGCUGUUGGUUUAUCAGAUCUUUAUUCAAAUAUUCUCAAUUAAUCUUAUAUAUAUUUUUUUGCUUUAAUUACAAGCCUUUGAAUAAUUCCCCACCCCCCUCAACACGAAUUGUAUAUUUCAAUGUUAAAAAGAUAAAUAUAUAUAUAUUAAGAAUUAGUAAAA
rnacentral:misc_RNA from 1 species